rnacentral:rRNA from 1 species
UACAACUGGGUGGCGACCGGCGCACGGGUGAGUAACGCGUAUGCAACCUUUCUAUCAGAGGGGAAUAACCCGGCGAAAGUCGGACUAAUACCGCAUAAAACAGGGACACCGCAUGGUGAUAUUUGUUAAAGAAAUUCGCUGAUAGAUGGGCAUGCGUUCCAUUAGGUAGUUGGUGAGGUAACGGCUCACCAAGCCGACGAUGGAUAGGGGAACUGAGAGGUUGGUCCCCCACACUGGUACUGAGACACGGACCAGACUCCUACGGGAGGCAGCAGUGAGGAAUAUUGGUCAAUGGGCGAGAGCCUGAACCAGCCAAGUCGCGUGAAGGAAGAAGGAUCUAUGGUUCGUAAACUUCUUUUGCAGGGGAAUAAAGUGCAGGACGUGUCCUGUUUUGUAUGUACCCUGAGAAUAAGGAUCGGCUAACUCCGUGCCAGCAGCCGCGGUAAUACGGAGGAUCCGAGCGUUAUCCGGAUUUAUUGGGUUUAAAGGGUGCGUAGGUGGUUUGAUAAGUCAGCGGUGAAAGUUUGCAGCUUAACUGUAAAAAUGCCGUUGAAACUGUCGGACUUGAGUGUAAAUGAGGUAGGCGGAAUGCGUGGUGUAGCGGUGAAAUGCUUAGAUAUCACGAAGAACUCCGAUUG